GAUUAAGUUAUUAAGGGCGCACGGUGGAUGCCUUGGCACUAGAAGCCGAUGAAGGACGUUACUAACGACGAUAUGCUUUGGGGAGCUGUAAGUAAGCUUUGAUCCAGAGAUUUCCGAAUGGGGAAACCCAGCAUGAGUUAUGUCAUGUUAUCGAUAUGUGAAUACAUAGCAUAUCAGAAGGCACACCCGGAGAACUGAAACAUCUUAGUACCCGGAGGAAGAGAAAGAAAAUUCGAUUCCCUUAGUAGCGGCGAGCGAAACGGGAAGAGCCCAAACCAACAAGCUUGCUUGUUGGGGUUGUAGGACACUCUAUACGGAGUUACAAAGGACGACAUUAGACGAAUCAUCUGGAAAGAUGAAUCAAAGAAGGUAAUAAUCCUGUAGUCGAAAAUGUUGUCUCUCUUGAGUGGAUCCUGAGUACGACGGAGCACGUGAAAUUCCGUCGGAAUCUGGGAGGACCAUCUCCUAAGGCUAAAUACUCUCUAGUGACCGAUAGUGAACCAGUACCGUGAGGGAAAGGUGAAAAGCACCCCGGAAGGGGAGUGAAAUAGAACCUGAAACCGUGUGCUUACAAGUAGUCAGAGCCCGUUUAAUGGGUGAUGGCGUGCCUUUUGUAGAAUGAACCGGCGAGUUACGAUUUGAUGCAAGGUUAAGCAGUAAAUGUGGAGCCGUAGCGAAAGCGAGUCUGAAUAGGGCGUUUAGUAUUUGGUCGUAGACCCGAAACCAGGUGAUCUACCCUUGGUCAGGUUGAAGUUCAGGUAACACUGAAUGGAGGACCGAACCGACUUACGUUGAAAAGUGAGCGGAUGAACUGAGGGUAGCGGAGAAAUUCCAAUCGAACCUGGAGAUAGCUGGUUCUCUCCGAAAUAGCUUUAGGGCUAGCCUCAAGUGAUGAUUAUUGGAGGUAGAGCACUGUUUGGACGAGGGGCCCCUCUCGGGUUACCGAAUUCAGACAAACUCCGAAUGCCAAUUAAUUUAACUUGGGAGUCAGAACAUGGGUGAUAAGGUCCGUGUUCGAAAGGGAAACAGCCCAGACCACCAGCUAAGGUCCCAAAAUAUAUGUUAAGUGGAAAAGGAUGUGGCGUUGCCCAGACAACUAGGAUGUUGGCUUAGAAGCAGCCAUCAUUUAAAGAGUGCGUAAUAGCUCACUAGUCGAGUGACACUGCGCCGAAAAUGUACCGGGGCUAAACAUAUUACCGAAGCUGUGGAUUGUCCUUUGGACAAUGGUAGGAGAGCGUUCUAAGGGCGUUGAAGCAUGAUCGUAAGGACAUGUGGAGCGCUUAGAAGUGAGAAUGCCGGUGUGAGUAGCGAAAGACGGGUGAGAAUCCCGUCCACCGAUUGACUAAGGUUUCCAGAGGAAGGCUCGUCCGCUCUGGGUUAGUCGGGUCCUAAGCUGAGGCCGACAGGCGUAGGCGAUGGAUAACAGGUUGAUAUUCCUGUACCACCUAUAAUCGUUUUAAUCGAUGGGGGGACGCAGUAGGAUAGGCGAAGCGUGCGAUUGGAUUGCACGUCUAAGCAGUAAGGCUGAGUAUUAGGCAAAUCCGGUACUCGUUAAGGCUGAGCUGUGAUGGGGAGAAGACAUUGAGUCUUCGAGUCGUUGAUUUCACACUGCCGAGAAAAGCCUCUAGAUAGAAAAUAGGUGCCCGUACCGCAAACCGACACAGGUAGUCAAGAUGAGAAUUCUAAGGUGAGCGAGCGAACUCUCGUUAAGGAACUCGGCAAAAUGACCCCGUAACUUCGGGAGAAGGGGUGCUCUUUAGGGUUAACGCCCAGAAGAGCCGCAGUGAAUAGGCCCAAGCGACUGUUUAUCAAAAACACAGGUCUCUGCUAAACCGUAAGGUGAUGUAUAGGGGCUGACGCCUGCCCGGUGCUGGAAGGUUAAGAGGAGUGGUUAGCUUCUGCGAAGCUACGAAUCGAAGCCCCAGUAAACGGCGGCCGUAACUAUAACGGUCCUAAGGUAGCGAAAUUCCUUGUCGGGUAAGUUCCGACCCGCACGAAAGGCGUAACGAUUUGGGCACUGUCUCAACGAGAGACUCGGUGAAAUCAUAGUACCUGUGAAGAUGCAGGUUACCCGCGACAGGACGGAAAGACCCCGUGGAGCUUUACUGUAGCCUGAUAUUGAAAUUCGGCACAGCUUGUACAGGAUAGGUAGGAGCCUUUGAAACGUGAGCGCUAGCUUACGUGGAGGCGCUGGUGGGAUACUACCCUAGCUGUGUUGGCUUUCUAACCCGCACCACUUAUCGUGGUGGGAGACAGUGUCAGGCGGGCAGUUUGACUGGGGCGGUCGCCUCCUAAAAGGUAACGGAGGCGCUCAAAGGUUCCCUCAGAAUGGUUGGAAAUCAUUCAUAGAGUGUAAAGGCAUAAGGGAGCUUGACUGCGAGACCUACAAGUCGAGCAGGGUCGAAAGACGGACUUAGUGAUCCGGUGGUUCCGCAUGGAAGGGCCAUCGCUCAACGGAUAAAAGCUACCCCGGGGAUAACAGGCUUAUCUCCCCCAAGAGUUCACAUCGACGGGGAGGUUUGGCACCUCGAUGUCGGCUCAUCGCAUCCUGGGGCUGUAGUCGGUCCCAAGGGUUGGGCUGUUCGCCCAUUAAAGCGGUACGCGAGCUGGGUUCAGAACGUCGUGAGACAGUUCGGUCCCUAUCCGUCGUGGGCGUAGGAAAUUUGAGAGGAGCUGUCCUUAGUACGAGAGGACCGGGAUGGACAUACCUCUGGUGUACCAGUUGUCGUGCCAACGGCAUAGCUGGGUAGCUAUGUGUGGACGGGAUAAGUGCUGAAAGCAUCUAAGCAUGAAGCCCCCCUCAAGAUGAGAUUUCCCAACUUCGGUUAUAAGAUCCCUCAAAGAUGAUGAGGUUAAUAGGUUCGAGGUGGAAGCAUGGUGACAUGUGGAGCUGACGAAUACUAAUCGAUCGAAGACUUAAUCAA
rnacentral:rRNA from 1 species